AAACCAACAGGGAUUGCCUUAGUAGCGGCGAGUGAAGCGGCAAGAGCUCAAAUUUGAAAUCUGGUGCCUUUGGUGCCCGAGUUGUAAUUUGAAGAAAGCUAUCUUGGAUUUGGCCUUUGUCUAUGUUCCUUGGAACAGGACGUCACAGAGGGUGAGAAUCCCGUGCGAUGAGGUGUCCAUUUCUAUGUAAGAUGUUUUCGAAGAGUCGAGUUGUUUGGGAAUGCAGCUCUAAGUGGGUGGUAAAUUCCAUCUAAAGCUAAAUAUUGGCGAGAGACCGAUAGCGAACAAGUACAGUGAUGGAAAGAUGAAAAGAACUUUGAAAAGAGAGUGAAAAAGUACGUGAAAUUGUUGAAAGGGAAGGGUAUUAGAUCAGACUUGGUAUUUAGUUAUCAUUGCUCCUUGUGGGUGGUGCUCUAGCUUUCUACUGGGCCAGCAUCAGUUUUGGUGGCAAGAUAAUGACAAUUUGAACGUGGCUCUUCGGAGUGUUAUAGCUUUUGUUGAUGUUGCCUACUGGGACUGAGGUCUGCGGCUUUUGCCUAGGAUGCUGGCGUAAUGAUCCAAUACCGC
rnacentral:rRNA from 1 species